CCCCUCCCCAGCCCCAGACGCGGACCCCGCAGGAGAUGGGUGCCCCCAUCCACACACUGUCCUUUGGCCACCGGACAUCAUGCCUCCCAAGAAGGAUGUUCCUGUGAAGAAACCGGCAGGGCCCUCCAUCUCCAAACCUGCUGCUAAGCCAGCAGCAGCAGCAGGGGCUCCUCCAGCCAAGAGCAAAGCUGAGCCAGCAGUCCCCCAGGCCCCUCAGAAAACCCAGGAGCCUCCAAUCGAUCUCUCCAAAGUGGUGAUCGAGUUUAACAAGGACCAGCUGGAGGAGUUCAAGGAGGCCUUCGAGCUGUUUGACCAAAUAGGGGAUGGCAAGAUCCUGUACAGCCAGUGUGGGGACGUGAUGAGGGCCCUGGGCCAGAACCCCACCAACGCCGAGGUGCUCAAGGUCCUAGGGAACCCUGAGAGUGAUGAGCUGAAGUCCCGGCAUGUGGACUUUGAAACUUUCCUGCCCAUGCUCCAGGCAGUGGCCAAGAACCGGGACCAAGGCACAUAUGAGGACUACUUGGAGGGGCUUUGUGUGUUUGACAAGGAGGGGGAUGGCAAAGUCAUGGGAGCAGAGCUCGGACAUAUUCUCACCACCCUUGGAGAGAAGAUGACUGAGGAGGAGGUGGAGACUGUUCUGGCAGGACAUGAGGACAGCAACGGCUGCAUCAACUACGAGGCCUUCUUGAAACACAUCCUAAGCGUCUGAGUGCUACAGAUCCAGUGGGGUCCGGACACUGGGCCCCGCAGGCGGAAGCACGUUCCAGCCACCAGGAGGCCACCUAUUGUUUCAAAAUAAAGACUGGGUUCCUCUC